UACGUAGGGUGCAAGCGUUGUCCGGAUUUAUUGGGCGUAAAGAGCGUGUAGGCGGCCAGGUAGGUGGGUUGUGAAAACUGGAGGCUCAACCUUCAGACGUCGACCCAAACCCCCUGGCUAGAGUCCGGAAGAGGAGAGUGGAAUUCCUGGGGUAGCGGUGAAAUGCGCAGAUAUCAGGAAGAACACCCGUGGCGAAGGCGGCUCUCUGGGACGGUACUGACGCUGAGACGCGAAAGCGUGGGGAGCGAACAGG
rnacentral:rRNA from 1 species